rnacentral:rRNA from 1 species
CGGGGUGCAGCAGGCGCGAAAACUCUACAAUGCAGGCAACUGCCAUAGGGGAACAUCGAGUGGCGUCCAUAUUGGAUGUCUGUCCUCCCGCCUAAAAAGCGGGAGUUAGCAAGGGCCGGGCAAUACCGGUGCCAGCCGCCGCGGUAACACCGGCGGCCCGAGUGGUCAUCAUGAUUAUUGGGUCUAAAGGGUCCGUAGCCGGUUUGGUCAGUCCUCCGGGAAAUGUUACGGCUCAACCGUUAGGCUUUCGGGGGAUACCGCCAGGCUCGGAACCCGUAGAGGUGAGAGGUACUACAGGGGUAGGAGUGAAAUCUUGUAAUCCCUGUGAGACCACCUGUGGCGAAGGCGUCUUACCAGAACGGGUUAGACGGUGAGGGACGAAAGCUGGGGGCACGAACCGGAUUAGAUACCCGGGUAGUCCCAGCCGUAAACGAUGCUCGCUAGGUGUCAGGCAUGGCGCGACCGUGUCUGGUGCCGCAGGGAAGCCGUGAAGCGAACCGCCUGGGAAGUACGGCCGCAAGGCUGAAACUUAAAGGAAUUGGCGGGCGAGCACAAGGGCGAAUUCGC